UCUAGGGCAUAUCAGUGAAGAGGGAGUUUGUUAAGUUUUUUAUUUACGGCUUCAGGAAAAAGGUGCACUUUUUUUUACAAGGCUUUUAAAAUCAAAGAGUCACUCCAGGCCGCCGCCAGAGAGCGCGGAGGGAUCCGUACACUCACUUCCGGCGUUGGCUCGAGGGGCGGAGAAAGAAGUCUUUUACCCCAAGAAAGGUUUUUAUUGUGAAGUAGACGGUCUCCUGGUUCUCGCGCGAGAUAAUGGAGGAGAGAGCGCGUCGAGAUGAUUGGUCAGGCACGAUCAAACUGUUCCUAUUCUGCGAACUUUCUGCCAACAAUGGUAACAACGAUGACACGGACUGAAUACCCUGGCACACGGAGGCGUAACUACAAGUCCAUGCGUGAGGAAGGGCCAAAGAAGAAAAGAACUCUCUGCGGACAGUCCCACUUGACAAAUGCUGUUUCUCGGGGAGAGUGCGCAGGGGACCACGAGAAGCCCAGGUGAGCCUGGCUCUGGGGCAGAGACUGAAUAAACACAACGGUCGCUGGAGACUGAGCUGCUAACUGGAGAACAAGAAAAUCCACCCGUUCACAUGCACCUGAAAAAUGCACUGAAAAUGUGGCCCCCCGAGUGGAGUUCACAGGCACAGUGCAGACGAGGCUGGCCUCCGUACAGGGUUCACGCGGGGUGAGCUCACCUUCGUUCCUUGGCAACAACGGGGCCAUCCUGACUGAAGUUCCCCUCAUCCCCCAAAAAACCCAUUUCCCAUGGACUUAAAACCCUGGGCCCAACCCAGAUGAGGGAUGACAAAGUGGCUCAGAUCUGAGCACGGCGCUUCACACUGCUUUCUUCUUCCUCCCGUGUCCUGUAUCCCGGGAACUCCCUAUAAAGAGUUGUGUACCAUUCACCCGUAUACCCAGAAUGGGAGGACAGAGGGACAAGAUCGCUGGCGCACCUUCCAGUGUCAAGUGAUUUCUUUCGAAUACCCUUACAACCGAGUACUACUCAUCUCACACCGCAUCAUCAACAAGAAAGGAGUAUUUCUGACUCUACUUAUUUCAGCAGGAGUUGCAGUCAAGCCUUCCUUUUUCUCUAACUAGAAUUCACCACCUUGGCACUUCUCUGUUCUCUUCUCCACCUUCUGCAGUUAGUAGAUGCUUCAGGUUCAGGGACAGGAUGAGAGACUUGGCCAAAUUAAAUACACUUCCACUUCAAAUGCUCAGAGCAAGCAAGGCUGAGAAGAGGGAAACUCUGUAUUUGCAGGUGGGGUCAGGCAGGAACUCUAGCCAUCAUCAUCCCUCCAGCAGCCACUGAGACAGAGAUGGGACAUAAAUGUCCCCGAGGCAAACUAACACAAUCAGGACAAAGCUGACAGGUACAGUUCCCCAUACAGAAUGAUGAGCACUGUUUUGUGUGUGUGCUCAGUCGUGUCUGACUCUGCGACCCCAUGGACUGUAGCCCGCCAGGCCCCUCUGUCCGUGGAAUUCUCUCGGCAAGAAUAAUGGAGCGGGCUCCAUUUUCUAUUCCAACCACUGUUUUAUUUCUUUUAAAACAAAAGGCUCUUUAGGGAUGUAUUUACAAUAGGGAGAACCAUCUCCUAAAUGAUCCUUGCAUAUGAUACAGCAGAGCAAGAAGGGCCCAGCUCCCCUCUGCGCGGAAGCUGGAAGGAGCCUCUCUGGGGCAUUUAGUCCUUGACCCUCUGAUGGCUGGUGAGAAUGAGGCAGUGAGGUGGCACGACAGAAGAGGCUGAAUUUUAGAGUCAGAAAUCUCGAGAACCUGCCAUUGAGCCCUGACUAACUAGCUGGGUGACCUCAAAUGAGUUACUCAGCCCCUCAGCUAUGUAAAGGGGAUAAUGAUGCCUGCACGGCCUAAAUCACAGGGUUGUAGUAAGGACAACACAGCUACUAAAAUACUGCACGUGAACAUUUUAUCAACUGUUAAAGGACUCUACGAACGUGGGCUAUCAUUAAGUCUUCUACGAUUUCCAUCCACAGGACAAAGGUCACGUUUCAGAAGGCACUCAGCAAUCCAGAUUGUCCUGUGAGGUCCAUUUCACCUUCUGAAAUGGAGCCAGGAACGGUCUCUGAAACCCACACCGAUGCCAUCCUGGGCUUGAGACCAAAACUAUUACGUUGAGCAGACUUGGGAAAAGGCUUUUCUACACCAGUGCAGUAUAUUCCCUGCCCAAUCCAAGGACCAGGUGGUGCUGACGACCUAGCAACCAGCAAGAACAGAGAACACCCACAAGCUGCCCCAGGGAGAUCGGAGUUUCUAAAACUGAACUCAACCUAUUCCAGUUGAAACUGCUUAUCCACAGUAUACCCUCCACUCAGGCCGUGCUCUACUAGCUGGGAGCCAGUGAGGGGUAGGAGCUCUGUCUAACAAGGGGGAAGGAGCCUGGGUCCUUGCACAAUUAGGAAGGAGCCCUGUGGUUUAGUUUCAGUUUUACAAGAUGAAAAAGCUCUGGAGAUCUGUUACAUCAUAAGAUGAAUAUUCUUAACACCACUGAACUGUACACACACAACUAGUUAAAAGUAUUUAAAAAAAGAGGAGGAACCACUGUCCCGGUGGGCAGGGCUGAGGAUGCAGAAUGUGAACUCUGCUGACACUUCAGACAUGGUGUUUAACCUGCCUCCUCAGACACAAGAAUGGGAACGGACAUACUCACCACCCCGUGUACUGGCAGUGGCGGGGAUGAGUAACACUGGCCCUGUGGCUUCCUAGAAUGACGACACAGAACUCUGAACAUUCCAACUUCUUUUACUUGAAAAGGUCAUAUGAUUCGAACUAAACAUGACCUGGCUUAAGUAUGCAUGAUAAGAACUACCAUACAUUGAGCAUGUACCAUGUGCUGGGCAUUUUCCCCCUCUUUGCUCUCUUAUUCUUCACAACAAUCCCAUGAGGUCAGUCACAUUGUUAGCUCCCCUGUCAGAUGAAGAAACUGAGGCAGAGGUCAGGUAACUGGCCCAAAGUCACCAUGCGAGUAAGCUGUGCAGUCGUGAGUUGAACCUAGAGCUCACGGUGCUGGGGUGCAGGUUACAGGGGUCCCAAACAGCCUGCAGCCCCACCUUGUACCCAUCUACUCUCCAUGCACCACUAGACCAUAUGCCCCAGGACCAUUCUGGCUCAUUCACUGCCCCCA